rnacentral:tRNA from 1 species
GCGGGCGUAGCUCAGUUGGUAGAGCGCAACCUUGCCAAGGUUGAGGUCGCGGGUUCAAGUCCCGUCGCCCGCU